rnacentral:rRNA from 1 species
CUACGGGAGGCUCCAGUGAGGAAUAUUGCACAAUGGGGGAAACUCUGAUGCAGCAACGCCGCGUGGAGGAUGACGCAUUUCGGUGUGUAAACUCCUUUUAUCAGAGAAGAAAAUGACGGUAUCUGAUGAAUAAGCUCCGGCUAACUCCGUGCCAGCAGCCGCGGUAAUACGGAGGGAGCAAGCGUUAUUCGGAAUCACUGGGCGUAAAGGACGCGUAGGCGGGUUUUUAAGUCAGGUGUGAAAUCCUAUGGCUCAACCAUAGAACUGCACUUGAAACUGGGGACCUAGAGUAUGGAAGGGGGAGGUGGAAUUAGUGGUGUAGGGGUAAAAUCCGUAGAUAUCACUAGGAAUACCGAAAGCGAAGGCGACCUGCUGGGACAUUACUGACGCUGAGGCGUGAAAGCGUGGGGAGCAAACAGGAUUAGAUACCCCCGUAGUC